rnacentral:rRNA from 1 species
GAUGAACGCUAGCUACAGGCUUAACACAUGCAAGUCGCGGGGCAGCAUGGGGGUUGCUUGCCAUCCCCGAUGGCGACCGGCGCACGGGUGAGUAACGCGUAUCCAACCUGCCCUUCACCACGGGCUAACCCGGCGAAAGGCGGACUAAUACCGUAUGUUUUCCAUUGACGGCAUCCGAGUGAGACGAAAGGCUUGUGGGUCUGGUAGGGGGAUCCGCGCCGCUUUAGCGAGUUGGGGAGGUAAGGGCUCACCAAGGCAACGAUGCGGGGGGGACCUGAGGGGGGGAUCGGCCACACUGGAACUGAGACACGGUCCAGACGCCUACGGGAGGCAGCAGUAGGGAAGCUUCCGCAAUGGGCGAAAGCCUGACGGAGCAACGCGGCGUGAGUGAUGAAGGUCUUCGGAUCGUAAAACUGUGUUAUUAGGGAAGAACAAAUGUGUAAGGAACUAUGCACGUCUUGACGGUACCUAAUGAGAAAGCCACGGCUAACUACGUG